rnacentral:rRNA from 1 species
UACACACCGCCCGUCACACCAUGGGAGUGGGUUGCACCAGAAGUAGCUAGUCUAACCGCAAGGGGGACGGUUACCACGGUGUGAUUCAUGACUGGGGUGAAGUCGUAACAAGGUUACC